GGAGAGAUGGCUCAGUGGUUAAGAGCACUGGCUGCUCUUCCAGAGGAGCUGGGUUCAAGUCCCAGCACCC
rnacentral:tRNA from 1 species